rnacentral:rRNA from 1 species
UACAGAGGUGCCAAGCGUUAGGCGGAAUCACUGGGCUUAAGGCGCGUGUAGGCGGGUCGUUAAGUGUCCGAGUGAAAUCCCACGGCUCAACCGUGGAACUGCCGGGCAUACUGGCGAUCUUGAGGCAUUCAGGGGCGAGCGGAACAAAUGGUGGAGCGGUGAAAUGCGUAGAUAUCAUUUGGAACGCCAAUGGUGAAAACAGCUCGCUGGGAAUGAUCUGACGCUGAGACGCGAAAGCCAGGGGAGCGAACGGG